UAUCAAUAAUGUCUCCGAGCCCUUUUCCUAAAUUUCUAUUUUGGGGAGAAAUGGAGAUGGGCCGUUAGGGCAUGGCUGGAAACGGACAUGCCUCCCGUGUUUGGAAAGGAGAUGGGAAUCUAUUAAA
rnacentral:ncRNA from 2 species